UACGAGAGGUCCAAACGUUAUUCGGAAUCACUGGGCUUACAGAGUUCGUAGGCGGCUCUACAAGUGAGGUGUGAAAGCCCUCGGCUCAACCGAGGAACUGCGCUUCAAACUGUAAAGCUAGAGGGAGAUAGAGGUGAGCGGAACUGAUGGUGUAGCGGUGAAAUGCGCAGAUAUCAGGAGGAACACCGAUGGCGAAGGCAGGUCUCUGGGCCACUACUGACGCUGAGAAGCGAAAGCAUGGGGAGCGAACAGG
rnacentral:rRNA from 1 species